rnacentral:rRNA from 1 species
GACGAACGCUGGCGGCGUGCCUAAUACAUGCAAGUCGAGCGGACUUAAAAAGCUUGCUUUUUAAGUUAGCGGCGGACGGGUGAGUAACACGUGGGCAACCUGCCUGUAAGACUGGGAUAACUUCGGGAAACCGGAGCUAAUACCGGAUAAUCCUUUUCUACUCAUGUAGAAAAGCUGAAAGACGGUUUACGCUGUCACUUACAGAUGGGCCCGCGGCGCAUUAGCUAGUUGGUGAGGUAACGGCUCACCAAGGCGACGAUGCGUAGCCGACCUGAGAGGGUGGUCAGCCACACUGGGACUGAGACACGGCCCAGACUCCUACGGGAGGCAGCAGUAGGGAAUCUUCCGCAAUGGACGAAAGUCUGACGGAGCAACGCCGCGUGAGUGAUGAAGGUUUUCGGAUCGUAAAACUCUGUUGUUAGGGAAGAACAAGUACGAGAGUAACUGCUCGUACCUUGACGGUACCUAACCAGAAAGCCACGGCUAACUACGUG